CCUACGGGCGGCAGCAGUGAGGAAUAUUGGUCAAUGGGCGCGAGCCUGAACCAGCAAAGUAGCGUGAAGGAUGACUGCCCUACGGGUUGUAAACUUCUUUUAUAAAGGAAUAAAGUGAGGCACGUGUGCCUUUUGUAUGUACUUUAUGAAUAAGGAUCGGCUAACUCCGUGCCAGCAGCCGCGGUAAUACGGAGGAUCCGAGCGUUAUCCGGAUUUAUUGGGUUCAAAGGGAGCGUAGAUGGGUUGUUAAGGCAGUUGUGAAAGUUUGCGGCUCAACCGUAGAAUGGCAAUUGAUACUGGUAGACUUGAGUACAGUUGAGGGAGGCGGAAUUCGUGGUGUAGCGGUGAAAUGCUUAGAUAUCACGAAGAACUCCGAUUGCGAAGGCAGCUUACUAAACUGCCACUGACAUUGAUGCUCGAAAGUGUGGGUAUCAAACAGGAUUAGAUACCCCUGUAGUC
rnacentral:rRNA from 1 species